UACGGAGGGUGCAAGCGUUGUCCGGAAUUAUUGGGCGUAAAGCGCACGUAGGCGGUUCUUUAAGUCUCAUGGUGAAAGGCUGGGGCUCAACCCCAAGCAAGCCGUGGAUACUGGAGGACUGGAGACAGGCAGAGGCCAGCGGAAUUCCGGGUGUAGCGGUGGAAUGCGUAGAGAUCCGGAAGAACACCGGAGGCGAAGGCGGCUGGCUGGGCCUGAUCUGACGCUGAGGUGCGAAAGCGUGGGGAGCGAACAGG
rnacentral:rRNA from 1 species